GAUAAACUAGUGAAGGCUACCGGGCUACUGAGGUUCUUCUUAAUCCAUGAAUGAAUGAAUGGAUGAUUAUGGGAAUGUUAGAAGAAAAUAUUCAAUUCACUGGGCUGUUGAAGCCACAGUGACUUGUCAGAUGCUGAUCAUCAUAAGAAGGAGGCUAGAAAUAAAGCCAAAAAAUUCUGUAGAUUCAUCUGUGUGAUUCUCACAAAUGUAUUUCAGGAAAGGCAAUCAUAGAUGUGUUUCUGAUACCUCAUCGUUCAUCACCUGAAAAAAAUGGGUAGAUUUAUUCUCUGUUGCCCUGGAGGCUGAAUUAUUUGGAAGGUACAAGGAAGCAGAUUGCAGUUUAAGAUGGGAAAGAACUCUAUUCACCACUGAAAUUGCUGCCUUGCAAAGAAAUGGACUUCUGGUCCCUGGAAUUGUUCUAACAGUUGUUUUAAAAUGUAGGGUUUUUUACUGAGGUAUGGUGGGCCAACAGAUCAGGGGAUGACUGCCCUUGAAAAAGCUAAUUUGUUACAGUUCCCAAGAGGAAAGGACACACCAUGCCACACAGGCACACACAGGUAAGCGUCAGGUUAGGUCAGGAGGCAGAAGGAACAAGGGGAAAGCAAGGCGUGAGCCUUUAUUGUGGUUUCCGUGGUCAAGACCGGGUAAACACACUUAGGAUUUGCUACUUUAAAUAGGUUCAGCAGGCUCUGGGGUAUAGAGGCUGUCUCAAAUUGUCUGGUACCUUGCCCUGUGGUGAUUAGGACAGGGGAGUAUUGACAGGGCAGUGUAUGAGCCAGAUAGAGGAGGUGGGGCUCUGGAUUGGUUGGUUUGUAAAGGAAAGGCAGGAUCCUGGCUGUCUCUAGGAAUCAGCUAACUGGGGGUGGGGCUGUGCCUCCCCUGUCAGUAAGGCCCCCAGAUGCCAAAGCAUCAAGAAUACAGGAAAUAAGAGCAUGUAAUGAAUACACACGCUGGUUUACAUAAAUCAUAAAUAUGGUUCCUGCUUGGUUAGAGGCUGAAAUAGAUGUUUUCUAAAACUGUGAUUUGAAUUCAGUCAGACUGUUGCCAAGUCUCUAAGUUAAACUGAAAACAAAGAAAUGGGAGAUGUAAGAGUUCCAGGGAUCUAUACUGGGACUUGUCAUAUUAACUUUGUGUUAAUUCUGGAAAGGGGAGAUGAUGUUAAAGUUCAUUUAGGAACAUAGUGCCAGCUCGACAGGGUAAGCCAGAGUUCUCACACAGUUUUGUGAGUAGACAACAGUGACUUACAAGUGAUGAACAAAAAAACUGUGAGGUUUAGGGAUAAAUAGACAAAACUAUGAGUACCAUGGUCUCCUAUGUAUUAUUUAAGCUCAGAAAGAGAUCUCUAUAGCUACCAUUCCAGGGUGUGGCCACAAAAGUAUCUCUAAAAUGCAACCAUUAGAAAGGGGGUUGAAAAUUAAGCAGAGAAUUUUACCAACCAUUACAAGAAACAAAACACAAAAUUUGUCUCUCCUUAACCUAUGUAUGGUUUACUUAUCGCAUUUCAGGUGAAAGGGUGAGUUGAAGAAAACCCCAAGAAAAAUAGCACAAGUGACCAAGAGAAGGCCAGCCACUAGACGUGUAGGCCUGUCAGUCUGGAAGUCAAGGCUGAGAAUGAAUAUUAUCCAAAUCCAUAAAAUCAGGGACUGACCUUAUUCAUUUGACAAGUAUUUUUCAGCAUCUACAGUGUGCCAAGCGCAGGGCCAGGAGAUGUGAAGACGAGUAAGACCGUCGUCACCUUCAAAGACAUGCAUGACUAUGCUCAUGGCUCUGCAGCAGUUUUACUCGACCAGGAAUAAUAACAGAAGUAAAUUGACAUAAAUGUGUCUUUUCCGGCAAUACAGUGAAACUAAUUUCAUGGUAACAAUAGACUAGAAUCCUUGGGAUUUAUUUUACGCACCUUUAUUUGGGAAAUUUGGGUUGUUAACCAACAUAUAUAUGCCCAUUAAGGUAAGUGUGCUCUUGGCCCCCUUUACCUAUUUCGCCCAUCCCCCGCACUCACCUCCCCUCUUGUAACCCUCUGGUUGCUCUCUAUAGUUAAGAGUUUACUUUUUUAUUUGUCUCUCUUUUUUUUUCUUUGUACAGUUGGUUUUUUUCUUAAAUUGCACAUAUGAGUGAAGUCACAUGGUAUUUGUCUUUCUCUGACUUUCUUAUUUCGCUUAGCAUUAUAGUCUCUGGAUUCAUCCACAUUGUUGCAAAUUGCAAGAUUUCAUUCUUUUUCAUGGCUGAAUAAUAUUCCUCUGUGUGUGUGGUGUGUUUGUGUGUGUGUGUGUACACACAUAUAUACCACCUCUUCUUUAUCCGUUCAUCUAUUGCUGGACACUUAGGCUGUUUCCAUAAUUUAACUAUUAUACAUAAUGCUGCAAUAAUCACAGGGGGUAUAUCCCUUUGAAUAUAUUGUUUUUGUAUUCUUUGGGUAAAUACUUAGUAGUGCAAUUAUUGCAUCAUAGGGUAGUUCUAUUUUUAAUUUUUUGAGGAACCUCCAUACUGUCUUCCACUGCACAAGUCUGCAUUCCCACCAACAGUGCACAAGGGUUCCUUUUGUUCCACAUCCUCACCAACACUUGUUUCUUGAAUUUUUUAUGUUAGUUAUUCUGACAGGUGUGAGAUGUUUUCUCAGUGUGGUUUUGAUUUGCUUUUUCCUGAUAAUGAAUGAUGUUGCACAUCUUUUCAUGUGUCUGUUGGCCAUCUGGUAUGUUUUCCUUGGAGAAAUGUCUGUUCAUGUCGUCUGCUCAUUUUUUAAUUGGAGUAUUUGGUUUGGGGAUAUUGAGCUAUGGAAGUUCUUUGUAGAUUUUGGAUACUAACCCUUUACCAGAUGUGUUAUUUAUAAAUAUCUUCUCCCAUUUAGUAGGUUGUCUUUUAAUUUUGUUGAUUGUUUCCUUCACUGUAUAGAAGCAUUUUAUUUCGUUGUAGUCCCGAUGUUUAUUUUUGCUUUUGUUUUUCUUGCCUCAGGAGACAUAUCUAGAAAGAUAUUGUUAUGGAUGAUGCCAGAGAAAUUACUACCUGUGUUCUCUUCUAGGAUUUUUAUGGUUCAGGUCUCACAUUAAGGUCCUUAAUACAUUUUGAGUUUAUUUUUGUGUAUGUUGUAAGAAAGCAGUCCAAUUUCAUUCUUUUGUUUGUAGCUGUCCAAUUUUCCCAACAUGCUUUGUUGAAGAGUCUGUCUUUUCUCAAUAGGUAUUCUUCUCUGCUUUGUCAAAGAUUAAUUGACUGUAUAAUUGUGGGUUCAUUUCUGGCCUUUCUAUUUUGCUGUAUUGUUCUGUGUCUAUUUUUGUGCCAGUACCAUACUAUUUUGAUUACUACAGCCUUGCGAUAUAACUUGAAGUCUGGAAUUGUGACACCUUUGGUUUUUUGGGUUUUUUUCUUUAGCAAGAUUGCUAUUGGCUAUUUGGGGUCUUUUGUGGUUCCAUACAAGUUUUAGAAUUGUUUGUUCUAGUUCUAUAAAAAAAUGCUGUUGGUAUUUUGAUAGGGAUUGCAUUAAGUGUGCAGAUUGCUUUGAGUAGUAUGGACAUUUUAGCAAUAUUCUUUCAAUCCAGGAGCAUGAAAUAUCUUUCCAUUUGUUUGUGUCACUUUCCAUUUCUUUCACCAGUGCUUUUUUUUAAGUUUAUUUAUUCUUAGUAAUCUCUACACCAGCGUGGGGCUGCAACUCAUGACCCUAAAAUCAAGAGUUUCAUGCUCUUCCAAUUGAGCCAGCCAGGUGCCCCUGCCAUCAAUGUAUUAUAGUUUUCAGAGUAUAGGUCUUUCACCUCUUUGGUUAUGUUUACCUCAGGUAUUUUAUUAUUUUUUACUGCAAUUAUAAAUGGGAUUGUUUUCUUAAUUUCUCUUUCUGCUACUUCAUUAUUGGUGUAUAGAAAUGCAAUGGAUUUCUGGACAUUGAUUUUGUAUCCUUUGACCUUACUGAAUUCAUUUAUCAGCUCUAGUAGUUUUUUGGCAGAGUCUUUAGGAUUUUCUAUAUAUAGUUUCAUGUCAUCUGCAAAGAGUGAAAAUUUUACUUUCUCCUUACCAGUUUGUAUGCCUUUUAUUUCUUUUUGUUGCUUAUUUCUGAGGCUAGGACGUCCAGUACUAUGUUGAAUGAAAGUGGUCAGAGUGGACAUCCUUGUCUUGUCCCUGAUCCUAGAGGGAAAGCUCUCAGUUUUUCCUCAUUGACUAUGAUAUUCGCUGUGGGUUUUUCAUAUGUGACCUUUGUUAUGUUGAGGUGUGUUCUCCCUAACCCUACUUUGUUCAGGGUUUUUAUCAUGAAUGGAUGUUGUACUUUGUCAUACGCUUUUUCUGUGUCUAUAAAAUGAUCAUAUGGUUCUUAUCCUUUCUGAUGUGAGGUACCACACUGAUUGAUUUGCAAAUAGUGAACCACCCUUGCAACCCAGGAAUAAAUCCCACUUGACUGUGGUAAAUGUUUUUUUUAGUGUAUUGUUGGAUUCUGUUUGCUAGUGUUUUGUUGAGGAUUUUUUGCAUCUCUGUUCAUCAAAGAUACUGGCCUGUAUUUCUCUUUUUUUGUGAUGUCUUUAUUGCUUUUGGAAUCAGUGUAAUGCUGGCUUCUUAGAAUGAAUUUGGAAGUUUUCCUUCCUUUUCUAUUUUUUGGUAAAGUUUGAGAAGAAUAGGUGUUAACUCUUCUUCAGAUGUUUAGUAGAAUUCACCUGUGAAGCCACCUGAUACUUGUUUGUUGGAAGUUUUUUGAUUACUGAUUUAAUUUCAUUGCUGGUAAUCAGUCUGUUCAGAUUUUCUAUUUCUUCCUGCUUCAGUUUUGGUAGGUUAUGUUUCUAGGAAUUUAUCCAUUUUGUCUAGGUUGUUCAAUUGUUGGCAUAUAAUUUUUCAUAAUACUCUGUUACAAUCCUUUGUAUUUCUGUGGUGUCAUUAACCAACAUAUUUAAUUUGAAGAACUCUCUUGUUCCUUGCACAAAAUAAAGUUUUUGAGAAGCAGUGA